rnacentral:snoRNA from 1 species
ACCCCUUUGUUGUUCAUGACUACUGGGGUGUUCAUGCUGUUGUGUCCCAUGUGCUUCCCUCAAAUCUUGUUACGAUGUCAGCACAUUACCCAUCUGAUG